AUUGAACGCUGGCGGCAGGCCUAACACAUGCAAGUCGAACGGUAACAGGAAGCAGCUUGCUGCUUUGCUGACGAGUGGCGGACGGGUGAGUAAUGUCUGGGAAACUGCCUGAUGGAGGGGGAUAACUACUGGAAACGGUAGCUAAUACCGCAUAACGUCGCAAGACCAAAGAGGGGGACCUUAGGGCCUCUUGCCAUCGGAUGUGCCCAGAUGGGAUUAGCUAGUAGGUGGGGUAACGGCUCACCUAGGCGACGAUCCCUAGCUGGUCUGAGAGGAUGACCAGCCACACUGGAACUGAGACACGGUCCAGACUCCUACGAGAGGCAGCAGUGGGGAAUAUUGCACAAUGGGCGCAAGCCUGAUGCAGCCAUGCCGCGUGUAUGAAGAAGGCCUUCGGGUUGUAAAGUACUUUCAGCGGGGAGGAAGGGAGUAAAGUUAAUACCUUUGCUCAUUGACGUUACCCGCAGAAGAAGCACCGGCUAACUCCGUG
rnacentral:rRNA from 1 species